GGGUUGUGAGGUUAAGCGACUAAGCGUACACGGUGGAUGCCCUGGCAGUCAGAGGCGAUGAAGGACGUGCUAAUCUGCGAUAAGCGUCGGUAAGGUGAUAUGAACCGUUAUAACCGGCGAUUUCCGAAUGGGGAAACCCAGUGUGAUUCGUCACACUAUCAUUAACUGAAUCCAUAGGUUAAUGAGGCGAACCGGGGGAACUGAAACAUCUAAGUACCCCGAGGAAAAGAAAUCAACCGAGAUUCCCCCAGUAGCGGCGAGCGAACGGGGAGCAGCCCAGAGCCUGAAUCAGUGUGUGUGUUAGUGGAAGCGUCUGGAAAGGCGCGCGAUACAGGGUGACAGCCCCGUACACAAAAAUGCACAUGCUGUGAGCUCGAUGAGUAGGGCGGGACACGUGGUAUCCUGUCUGAAUAUGGGGGGACCAUCCUCCAAGGCUAAAUACUCCUGACUGACCGAUAGUGAACCAGUACCGUGAGGGAAAGGCGAAAAGAACCCCGGCGAGGGGAGUGAAAAAGAACCUGAAACCGUGUACGUACAAGCAGUGGGAGCACAGAGCAAUCUGUGUGACUGCGUACCUUUUGUAUAAUGGGUCAGCGACUUAUAUUCUGUAGCAAGGUUAACCGAAUAGGGGAGCCGAAGGGAAACCGAGUCUUAACUGGGCGUUAAGUUGCAGGGUAUAGACCCGAAACCCGGUGAUCUAGCCAUGGGCAGGUUGAAGGUUGGGUAACACUAACUGGAGGACCGAACCGACUAAUGUUGAAAAAUUAGCGGAUGACUUGUGGCUGGGGGUGAAAGGCCAAUCAAACCGGGAGAUAGCUGGUUCUCCCCGAAAGCUAUUUAGGUAGCGCCUCGUGAAUUCAUCUCCGGGGGUAGAGCACUGUUUCGGCAAGGGGGUCAUCCCGACUUACCAACCCGAUGCAAACUGCGAAUACCGGAGAAUGUUAUCACGGGAGACACACGGCGGGUGCUAACGUCCGUCGUGAAGAGGGAAACAACCCAGACCGCCAGCUAAGGUCCCAAAGUCAUGGUUAAGUGGGAAACGAUGUGGGAAGGCCCAGACAGCCAGGAUGUUGGCUUAGAAGCAGCCAUCAUUUAAAGAAAGCGUAAUAGCUCACUGGUCGAGUCGGCCUGCGCGGAAGAUGUAACGGGGCUAAACCAUGCACCGAAGCUGCGGCAGCGACGCUGAUGCGUUGUUGGGUAGGGGAGCGUUCUGUAAGCCUGUGAAGGUGUGCUGUGAGGCAUGCUGGAGGUAUCAGAAGUGCGAAUGCUGACAUAAGUAACGAUAAAGCGGGUGAAAAGCCCGCUCGCCGGAAGACCAAGGGUUCCUGUCCAACGUUAAUCGGGGCAGGGUGAGUCGACCCCUAAGGCGAGGCCGAAAGGCGUAGUCGAUGGGAAACAGGUUAAUAUUCCUGUACUUGGUGUUACUGCGAAGGGGGGACGGAGAAGGCUAUGUUGGCCGGGCGACGGUUGUCCCGGUUUAAGCGUGUAGGCUGGUUUUCCAGGCAAAUCCGGAAAAUCAAGGCUGAGGCGUGAUGACGAGGCACUACGGUGCUGAAGCAACAAAUGCCCUGCUUCCAGGAAAAGCCUCUAAGCAUCAGGUAACAUCAAAUCGUACCCCAAACCGACACAGGUGGUCAGGUAGAGAAUACCAAGGCGCUUGAGAGAACUCGGGUGAAGGAACUAGGCAAAAUGGUGCCGUAACUUCGGGAGAAGGCACGCUGAUAUGUAGGUGAAGCGACUUGCUCGUGGAGCUGAAAUCAGUCGAAGAUACCAGCUGGCUGCAACUGUUUAUUAAAAACACAGCACUGUGCAAACACGAAAGUGGACGUAUACGGUGUGACGCCUGCCCGGUGCCGGAAGGUUAAUUGAUGGGGUCAGCGCAAGCGAAGCUCUUGAUCGAAGCCCCGGUAAACGGCGGCCGUAACUAUAACGGUCCUAAGGUAGCGAAAUUCCUUGUCGGGUAAGUUCCGACCUGCACGAAUGGCGUAAUGAUGGCCAGGCUGUCUCCACCCGAGACUCAGUGAAAUUGAACUCGCUGUGAAGAUGCAGUGUACCCGCGGCAAGACGGAAAGACCCCGUGAACCUUUACUAUAGCUUGACACUGAACAUUGAGCCUUGAUGUGUAGGAUAGGUGGGAGGCUUUGAAGUGUGGACGCCAGUCUGCAUGGAGCCGACCUUGAAAUACCACCCUUUAAUGUUUGAUGUUCUAACGUUGACCCGUGAUCCGGGUUGCGGACAGUGUCUGGUGGGUAGUUUGACUGGGGCGGUCUCCUCCUAAAGAGUAACGGAGGAGCACGAAGGUUGGCUAAUCCUGGUCGGACAUCAGGAGGUUAGUGCAAUGGCAUAAGCCAGCUUGACUGCGAGCGUGACGGCGCGAGCAGGUGCGAAAGCAGGUCAUAGUGAUCCGGUGGUUCUGAAUGGAAGGGCCAUCGCUCAACGGAUAAAAGGUACUCCGGGGAUAACAGGCUGAUACCGCCCAAGAGUUCAUAUCGACGGCGGUGUUUGGCACCUCGAUGUCGGCUCAUCACAUCCUGGGGCUGAAGUAGGUCCCAAGGGUAUGGCUGUUCGCCAUUUAAAGUGGUACGCGAGCUGGGUUUAGAACGUCGUGAGACAGUUCGGUCCCUAUCUGCCGUGGGCGCUGGAGAAUUGAGGGGGGCUGCUCCUAGUACGAGAGGACCGGAGUGGACGCAUCACUGGUGUUCGGGUUGUCAUGCCAAUGGCACUGCCCGGUAGCUAAAUGCGGAAGAGAUAAGUGCUGAAAGCAUCUAAGCACGAAACUUGCCCCGAGAUGAGUUCUCCCUGACUCCUUGAGAGUCCUGAAGGAACGUUGAAGACGACGACGUUGAUAGGCCGGGUGUGUAAGCGCAGCGAUGCGUUGAGCUAACCGGUACUAAUGAACCGUGAGGCUUAACCUUACAACGCCGAAG
rnacentral:rRNA from 1 species